rnacentral:rRNA from 1 species
UACAGAGGGGGCAAGCGUUGUUCGGAAUUACUGGGCGUAAAGGGCGCGUAGGCGGCCUGUUAAGUCGAACGUGAAAUCCCUGGGCUCAACCCAGGAACUGCGUCCGAUACUGGCAGGCUUGAAUCCGGGAGAGGGAUGCGGAAUUCCACGUGUAGCAGUGAAAUGCGUAGAGAUGUGGAGGAACACCGAUGGCGAAGGCAGCCUCCUGGGCCAGCACUGACGCUCAUGCACGAAAGCGUGGGGAGCAAACAGG